GAUAAAUAUAAAAACAGGAAAGACUCUAAUCAGGAUACAGAAUUUUCAGGCACAGCUAGCAGCUAGGAAGGUCCUACUUGUCUGAGGCUACAAGCAUGAAACAGAGCAGAUAUUACAGUCAGAGCAGAGGAAGUACAUGAAUAGCCUGAAGUCCUACAGAAAAUUGGUGUCAAACCCAGCAUUUUAACUUGGGCCCUUUUGGAAGAGAGGGUGCUUAACCCUGGAAGGUUUCCACUUUCCCAAGGCAACUUUCAGUGUGCUGGGUUAUAUUUGCAUUAUUGACUGAAAUAACUAAUCUGAUCACAGAGUGAAGUUCUGCAGCUGUUUUUCUACAGUAUCUGCACAUUUGAAGAGACACCAAAGAUAAUAGUUGUAUGAAAGCCCUCUUUUGAUACUCUGUUUCUACACUGGAUGCUAUCACUUGCUUGUGUACAGAAUUCAACCCAACAUCUGCAUUCUCCUCAUUCGCUCUCCUCGUCCUGAGCGAUAAAGGAAGGCUCAAUUCAGCAGCUGCUGCUUCUCUUGUCAUUAUGUUGCAAACAAUAAAGAAAUUAUGCUCAUA